GAAACGCGAUAGUUAAUGUGAAUUGCAGAAUUCAGUGAAUCAUCGAGUCUUUGAACGCACAUUGCGCCCAUUGGUAUUCCUUUGGGCAUGUCUGUUUGAGCGUCAUUACAACCCUCGGCUUCCGCCGGUUUUGAAUCAGAACGGGUCACACCCGCGCCGGUUUUAAAGUUGUAAGCUCUGCCGGCCACCCUGCCCAACCAGAACAUAGUAAGCACUACUUGUUGAGGUGAAGCUAAAGUGGUUCGGCCUGAAAAACCUACUUUUCUCUAAGGUUUGACCUCAGAUCAGACAAGGAUACCCGCUGAACUUAA
rnacentral:misc_RNA from 1 species